rnacentral:rRNA from 1 species
AUUGAACGCUGGCGGCAGGCCUAACACAUGCAAGUCGAGCGGAUGAAGGGUGCUUGCUCCUGGAUUCAGCGGCGGACGGGUGAGUAAUGCCUAGGAAUCUGCCUGGUAGUGGGGGAUAACGUCCGGAAACGGGCGCUAAUACCGCAUACGUCCUGAGGGAGAAAGUGGGGGAUCUUCGGACCUCACGCUAUCAGAUGAGCCUAGGUCGGAUUAGCUAGUUGGUGGGGUAAAGGCCUACCAAGGCGACGAUCCGUAACUGGUCUGAGAGGAUGAUCAGUCACACUGGAACUGAGACACGGUCCAGACUCCUACGGGAGGCAGCAGUGGGGAAUAUUGGACAAUGGGCGAAAGCCUGAUCCAGCCAUGCCGCGUGAGUGAAGAAGGUCUUCGGAUUGUAAAGCACUUUAAGUUGGGAGGAAGGGCAGUAAGUUAAUACCUUGCUGUUUUGACGUUACCAACAGAAUAAGCACCGGCUAACUUCGUG